CCUACGGGAGACAGCAGUGAGGAAUAUUGGUCAAUGGACGAGAGUCUGAACCAGCCAAGUAGCGUGAAGGAUGACUGCCCUAUGGGUUGUAAACUUCUUUUAUAAAGGAAUAAAACGAGGCACGUGUGCCUUUUUGCAUGUACUUUAUGAAUAAGGAUCGGCUAACUCCGUGCCAGCAGCCGCGGUAAUACGGAGGAUCCGAGCGUUAUCCGGAUUUAUUGGGUUUAAAGGGAGCGUAGAUGGGUUGUUAAGUCAGUUGUGAAAGUUUGCGGCUCAACCGUAAAAUUGCAAUUGAUACGGGCAGUCUUGAGUACAGUUGAGGUAGGCGGAAUUCGUGGUGUAGCGGUGAAAUGCUUAGAUAUCACGAAGAACCCCGAUUGCGAAGGCAGCUUACGAAACUGUGACUGACAUUGAUGCUCGAAAGUGUGGGUAUCAAACAGGAUUAGAUACCCUUGUAGUC
rnacentral:rRNA from 1 species